rnacentral:lncRNA from 1 species
GUGUUGGCUGUUAUAAACUCAUGAGGCAGCAUGAAUUUCGCCUAUGGCCCAGAGUAAGAAGUGCUUUUUGACUGAUAACUUCUAAUAGAUUUCUAUUACUUUGGGCCUCACAUAAAAACUUUCAGAUUGUAUUCUAGGGGAAUUUUAUCUUUUUCCUUUUUAAUCAUAAGUAUUUCAUCCUUGAAUCCAUGAAACUUACAUAGAAAAUAUUGCUUGUUAGAAUAAUUAACUAAAAGUAUAUCCAUUUGGAAAGUAGAAGAGCUUUCUCAGAUUGCUAAAUUUUUAAAUUUUGUUUUCUGUUUGAAAAGUAUAUUAAGAGUUCAAAUAUUUUUCCCAC